UUCUGAAGCUGCUGGUACCUAAGGGCCUUGCAGAGAAUCCCCACCUUUUUUCCCAGCAGACAGCCUCUGUGUCUGGUUUAAGGUGCCUGUGUGGGAGAUAACUCAGUCGACAGUUCAGCCUGGUUUCCAAGAAACCUUCAGGUCUUGGAUGAUGCAGUACAGACAUCUUCCACCUCUAGGCUAUAUACACACUGCUGAAAGGCAUCUGCUCCGGGGAAUGGUGCCCAGCUCCCAGCCUGCAGGUAUACAGCAGGAUCACACAGACUUACCAUGACAAGUGUGUGAAGAACAGUAGAUUGGAGCAGUAGAACGAAUAAAUCAAUGUGAAAUUAUCAGCUGAAUGGUACACCUUGUCCCCAGCAAGUGGAAACUUUAAAAGGAGAUGUUUAAAAAAGCUGAAGAUUAUCCUGGAGAGGAUUGCCUGAGAAGAUCCAGCUUUCAGUUUCCCUUUCAAGGUCACUGAUGUCACCUGAGAGUCUCUCCUACUUCUCUCCAGUCAGAGGUUUGCGUACGAGUGGAAAUUCCCCAGCACUCUUCAGACCGUCCUUUGACCUUCUUGUCACAACUCCUGUCCUGGCACCCGCAAGGCAACAAGCCGUCCUGCUCGCUCUAACUGGGUCACAGAUGGCCCAAGCCACAUUCUUCACUUACUCACUGAAGGAACGUCCAUGAGAUAAAUUAGAACAGAUGUACGGCAACUUUUUCUUUUGGCAUUUACACCACCCUCUGGUCUAAUUAAUCCUGACAUUGUGACCAUCAUAAUACGAACUGCAUCAAAGGAAUGCAAUAGCAGAUUGUCCUCUUGAUGGCAAAUAUGCUUAUUUUCCCUUCCAGUGAGACAUGAUUUUUCCCUUUCUGUGAGGCAAGCUCUUAUUUUCUCCUGCUAUCUCUACACUUCUAACAAAGAGACAAAACAUUGUGAAGCCCUUAUACUGAGGUUUGUUUAAAUUCCCAUGAAGGGAGAGCAGAUACAUUUAGGAAAAAAACAGUCUACUUUCACACAUCUCUUCUGAUACAGAAUUCCCUAUCAGAAUUCUCAUUUGUUUUUCUGGUAAUAAGGUACCAUGCUAACAAUUUUGGGUACCUGUUAAUAAUAUAUGUGGCAGUUAUACAUAUUUUAUACUAAAGGCUGUCUUAAAAGCAACAUCUUUAUAGGUAAUAACCUGCUUAGAAAAACACUUUCUUGAAUUAUUUAUACUUGUUUGGAGCAACAGAAUCAACUAUCUUUUUAUAAGGUCAGGUACCAAACAAGAGCCAUUAAUAAUAUAGUUAUCUAUCUUGGGACUAAGGUGGCUUAAUAUUUAUUUUUUAAUCACAUAGGAAAGACAGUUUGCUGCAAUAUAACUAACCAAGCAAGACUUGUCUAUAAAGCAUUCUAAUGUGACUUCAUAGGUUAAUAGAAAAUUUACUAAAAGGAAAAUGCCUGAGAAUGCUUUCACAUACAGAGAUAAGGGGAAAGGGAAAAAUAGUAAGUUUUGCAAAAACUCGUCUCUUUCUGUGAAACCUUUAAAAGUAACAAGUUCUGACAAAAAUGUUAUUUUGAAAAAUUUACAAAACUCUA